CCAGACUCCUACGGGAGGCAGCAGUGGGGAAUAUUGCACAAUGGGCGGAAGCCUGAUGCAGCAACGCCGCGUGCGGGAUGACGGCCUUCGGGUUGUAAACCGCUUUCGCCUGUGACGAAGCGUGAGUGACGGUAAUGGGUAAAGAAGCACCGGCUAACUACGUGCCAGCAGCCGCGGUGAUACGUAGGGUGCGAGCGUUGUCCGGAUUUAUUGGGCGUAAAGGGCUCGUAGGUGGUUGAUCGCGUCGGAAGUGUAAUCUUGGGGCUUAACCCUGAGCGUGCUUUCGAUACGGGUUGACUUGAGGAAGGUAGGGGAGAAUGGAAUUCCUGGUGGAGCGGUGGAAUGCGCAGAUAUCAGGAGGAACACCAGUGGCGAAGGCGGUUCUCUGGGCCUUUCCUGACGCUGAGGAGCGAAAGCGUGGGGAGCGAACAGGCUUAGAUACCCUGGUAGUCCACGCUGUACACGGUGGGUACUAGGUGUGGGGUCCAUUCCACGGGUUCCGUGCCGUAGCUAACGCUUUAAGUACCCCGCCUGGGGAGUACGGCCGCAAGGCUAAAACUCAAAGGAAUUGACGGGGGCCCGCACAAG
rnacentral:rRNA from 1 species